rnacentral:rRNA from 1 species
AAUAUUGGACAAUGGGCGAAAGCCUGAUCCAGCCAUGCCGCGUGUGUGAAGAAGGUCUUCGGAUUGUAAAGCACUUUCAGUGGGGAGGAAGGGUUGUAGGUUAAUACCCUGCAAUUCUGACGUCACCAACAGAAUAAGCACCGGCUAACUUCGUGACAGCAGCCGCGGUAAUACGAAGGGUGCAAGCGUUAAUCGGAAUUACUGGGCGUAAAGCGCGCGUAGGUGGUUCGUUAAGUUGGAAGUGAAAGCCCCGGGCUUAACCUGGGAAUUGCAUCCAAAACUGUCUGACUAGAGUAUGGCAGAGGGUGGUGGAAUUUCCUGUGUAGCGGUGAAAUGCGUAGAUAUAGGAAGGAACACCAGUGGCGAAGGCGACCACCUGGGCUAAUACUGACACUGAGGUGCGAAAGCGUGGGGAGCAAACAGG